AUGGAUGUGAAUGACAUUAUGAAUAUACAAAUUGGGAAUUGGGAAGGAGACGACUAUCUGGCAUGGAACUACAUAUCAGUUCGUAUUUUCUCUGUCAAAUCCGCAUACAAAGCCAGGAGAUUUAAUGAUUUUAUUGUUCAAUGGGACAGGAAGGGUGGAUCUUCAUCAUCUUCUUCCGAUGCUCACAAGGCAUGGCGUGUUGCCCUACGGAGUGUGGCUGUCGGAGCUGAAUUGGCUAGGAGGAAUAUCAAGCUCAAUGUUAGAUGCCCCUUCCAAUGCUUUCCACCGAGGUGGUGUUGA
rnacentral:rRNA from 1 species